UAUUGGACAAUGGGCGCAAGCCUGAUCCAGCCAUGCCGCGUGAGUGAUGAAGGCCUUAGGGUNGUAAAGCUCUUUUAUCCGGGACNNCCNNNANGGUACCGGAGGAAUAAGCCCCGGCUAACUUCGUGCCNNNAGCCGCGGUAAUACGAAGGGGGCUAGCGUUGCUCGGAAUCACUGGGCGUAAAGGGCGCGUAGGCGGCGUUUUAAGUCGGGGGUGAAAGCCUGUGGCUCAACCACAGAAUGGCCUUCGAUACUGGGACGCUUGAGUAUGGUAGAGGUUGGUGGAACUGCGAGUGUAGAGGUGAAAUUCGUAGAUAUUCGCAAGAACACCGGUGGCGAAGGCGGCCAACUGGACCAUUACUGACGCUGAAGCGCGAAAGCGUGGGGAGCAAACAG
rnacentral:rRNA from 1 species